AAGGAUCAUUAUCGUACAACCGGGGUGCAAGGGCUGUCGCUGACCUUCAAAGGUUGUGCACGCCCAAGCACUCUCACACAUCCAUCUCACCCCCUUUGUGCAUCACCGCGUGGGCCCCCCCUUUGCAGGAGGGCUUGCGUUUUCACACAAAACUCGAUACAGUGUAGAAUGUUUUUCUUUUGCGGUCACACGCAAUCAAUACAACUUUCAACAACGGAUCUCUUGGCUCUCGCAUCGAUGAAGAACGCAGCGAAAUGCGAUACGUAAUGUGAAUUGCAGAAUUCAGUGAAUCAUCGAAUCUUUGAACGCACCUUGCGCCCCUUGGCAUUCUGAGGGGCACACCCGUUUGAGUGUCGUGAAAUCAUCAAAACCCCUUUCUUUGAUCCCUUUUGUGGUCAGGAAAAGGAUUUUUGGACUUGGAGGUCUCAUGCUUGCCUUUGCUUUCAAAAGCGAGCUCCUCUUAAACAAAUUAGUGGGGUCUGCUUUGCUGGUCCUUGACGUGAUAAGAUGCUUCUACGUUUUGGAUUUGGCACUGUUCCUUGGAUGCCUGCUUUUAACUGUCUCUCGAGACAAUGAUGGUGUUUCGGUCACCGGCCAAUCUACAUUGGCGCGGGGAGGCUGGACCCACAAAAAGAAAAGACCUUGA
rnacentral:rRNA from 1 species